CGAAAAGCAAAUGCAUUUGUUGAUAUGAGUAGCAAAAUCAAUUCCUUUAAGCUACUCUUCAACUGUAUAAUCUCAUAUCUAUACAGUCUCCAGAUCCCUCUCAUGUGUAUGUUCAAUUCGUCCAUGUGUCCCUUCCACUUGAAGCCUGCCAGGAGCCACUCCUUAUCUGUGCUCCUGCACCAUGCCUCCUGCACUGGCG
rnacentral:lncRNA from 1 species